UACAGAGGUCUCAAGCGUUGUUCGGAUUCAUUGGGCGUAAAGGGUGUGUAGGUGGCGCCGUAAGUCAGGUGUGAAAUUUCGGAGCUCAACUCCGAAACUGCAUUUGAUACUGCGGUGCUUGAGGACUGGAGAGGAGACUGGAAUUUACGGUGUAGCGGUGAAAUGCGUAGAUAUCGUAAGGAAGACCAGUGGCGAAGGCGGGUCUCUGGACAGUUCCUGACGCUGAGGCGCGAAGGUCAGGGGAGCAAACGGG
rnacentral:rRNA from 1 species